GACGAACGCUGGCGGCGUGCUUAACACAUGCAAGUCGAACGGAAAGGCCCUGCUUUUGUGGGGUGCUCGAGUGCCGAACGGGUGAGUAACACGUGAGUAACCUGCCCUUGACUUUGGGAUAACUUCAGGAAACUGGGGCUAAUACCGGAUAGGAGCUCCUGCUGCAUGGUGGGGGUUGGAAAGUUUCGCCGGUUGGGGAUGGACGCGCGGCUUAUCAGCUUGUUGGUGUGGUAGUGGCUUACGAAGGCUUUGACGGGUAGCCGGCCUGAGAGGGUGACCGGCCACGUUGGGACUGUGAUACGGCCCAGACCCGUACGGAAGGCAGCAGUGGGGAAUAUUGCAGAUUAAGCGGACGUCUGAAGCAGCAACGCGGAGUGCGGGAAGACGGCCUUCGGGUUGUAAACCGCUUUCGCAUGUGACAGUGCAGGAGUGACGGUAAUGGGUAAAGAAGCACCGGAUAACUACGUG
rnacentral:rRNA from 1 species